GAUCGGGGUCGAGGGAGAGGGGGUUUAAUUAACCUGAACCCAAUAGGGUCGGCUCUGAGCCGGGCCAAAUGUCUGCUCGAGCCCAACCCGAUGAAAUGGGCUCUAUUUUUUUGGCUAGAGCCUGACCUGAAUAGUUUGGGGCCGGUGUCUGAAGCCCGACCUGAUGGGCCGAGUCUGAAUCCCGAUGGACCUCCUGGCGGCCCGAUGCACUUCCAACCUUAUCUACGGGACUGCCUCUACGAUGCUGCUUUUGGUGAUUUAGAAGAUGAGGGAGAG
rnacentral:lncRNA from 1 species